GACGAACGCUGGCGGCGUGCCUAAUACAUGCAAGUCGAACGCUUCUUUUCUACCGAGUGCUUGCACUCACUUGAAAAGAAGAGUGGCGAACGGGUGAGUAACACGUGGGUAACCUGCCCAUCAGAAGGGGAUAACACUUGGAAAUAGGUGCUAAUACCGUAUAACAAUAGGAACCGCAUGGUUCCAAUUUGAAUGGCGCUUUCGGGUGUCGCUGAUGGAUGGACCCGCGGUGCAUUAGCUAGUUGGUGAGGUAACGGCUCACCAAGGCAAUGAUGCAUAGCCGACCUGAGAGGGUGAUCGGCCACACUGGGACUGAGACACGGCCCAGACUCCUACGGGAGGCAGCAGUAGGGGAUCUUCGGCAAUGGACGAAAGUCUGACCGAGCAACGCCGCGUGAGUGAAGAAGGUUUUCGGGUCGUAAAACUCUGUUGUUAGAGAAGAACAAGGAUGAGAGUAACUGUUCAUCCCUUGACGGUAUCUAACCAGAAAGCCACGGCUAACUACGUGCCAGCAGCCGCCGUAA
rnacentral:rRNA from 1 species